GCAUAUCAAUAAGCGGAGGAAAAGAAACCAACAGGGAUUGCCCCUAGUAACGGCGAGUGAAGCGGCAUCAGCUCAAAUUUGAAAUCUGGCUCUUUCAGGGUCCGAGUUGUAAUUUGCAGAGGGCGCUUUGGUGUUGGCAGCGGUCCAAGUUCCUUGGAACAGGACGUCACAGAGGGUGAGAAUCCCGUACGUGGUCGCUGGCCUUCGCCGUGUAAAGCCCCUUCGACGAGUCGAGUUGUUUGGGAAUGCAGCUCUAAAUGGGAGGUAAAUUUCUUCUAAAGCUAAAUACUGGCCAGAGACCGAUAGCGCACAAGUAGAGUGAUCGAAAGAUGAAAAGCACUUUGGAAAGAGAGUCAAAUAGCACGUGAAAUUGUUGAAAGGGAAGCGCUUGCAGCCAGACUUGCCUGUAGUUGCUCAUCUAGGCUCUUUGCCUAGUGCACUCUUCUGCGGGCAGGCCAGCAUCAGUCUAGGCGGUUGGAUAAAGGCCUCUGUCAUGUACCUCCUCUCGGGGAGGCCUUAUAGGGGAGGCGUAAUGCAACCAGCCUGGACUGAGGUCCGCGCAUCUGCUAGGAUGCUGGCGUAAUGGCUGUAAGCGGCCCGUCUUGAAACACGGACCAAGGAGUCUAACAUCUAUGCGAGUGUUUGGGUGUCAAGCCCGAGCGCGUAAUGAAAGUGAACGGAGGUGGGAUCCCUUUAGGGUGCACCAUCGACCGAUCCUGAUGUCUUCGGAUGGAUUUGAGUAAGAGCAUGGCUGUUGGGACCCGAAAGAUGGUGAACUAUGCUUGAAUAGGGUGAAGCCAGAGGAAACUCUGGUGGAGGCUCGCAGCGGUUCUGACGUGCAAAUCGAUCGUCAAAUUUGGGCAUAGGGGCGAAAGACUAAUCGAACUAUCUAGUAGCUGGUUCCUGCCGA
rnacentral:rRNA from 1 species